GUGCCAGCCGCCGCGGUAAAACGUAGGACACGAGCGUUAUCCGGAGUUACUGGGCGUAAAGGGCGUGCAGGCGGUUUUGUAAGUUUGAUGUGAAAGCGCCCGGCUUAACCGGGCGAGGACAUUGGAGACUGCAAGACUAGAGGCAGAUAGAGGGGUGUAGAAUUCCGGGUGUAGUGGUGAAAUGCGUAGAGAUCCGGAGGAAUACCAGAGGCGAAGGCGGCACCCUGGGUCUGACCUGACGCUGAGACGCGACAGCAUGGGGAGCGAACGGGAUUAGAAACCCCCGUAGUCC
rnacentral:rRNA from 1 species